UCAGACUUCCGGGGGAUACUGCUGGCUAGGGACCGGGAGAGGCCGGGGGAAUUCCCCGGGGUAGGGGUGAAAUUCCUGUAAUCCCGGGAGGACCACCUGUGGCGAAGGCGCCCGGCUGGAACGGGUCCGACGGUGAGGGACGAAGGCCAGGGGAGCGAACCGGAUUAGAUACCCGGGUAGUCCUGGCUGUAAACGAUGCGGGCUAGGUGUCACCAGAGCCACGAGCUCCGGUGGUGCCGGAGGGAAGCCGUUAAGCCCGCCGCCUGGGAAGUACGGCCGCAAGGCUGAAACUUAAAGGAAUUGGCGGGGGAGCACUACAACGGGUGGAGCCUGCGGUUCAAUUGGAUUCAACGCCGGGAAGCUUACCGGGGGAGACAGCUGGAUGAAGGUCGGGCUGAAGACCCUACCAGACUAGCUGAAAGGUGGUGCAUGGCCGCCGUCGGUUCGUACUGUGAAGCAUCCUGUUAAGUCAGGCAACGAGCGAGACCCGCGCCCUCAGUUGCCAGCGGAUCCCUUCGGGGAUGCCGGGCACACUGAGGGGACUGCCGGCGCUAAGCCGGAGGAAGGUGCGGGCAACGGCAGGUCCGUAUGCCCCGAAUCCCCCGGGCUACACGCGGGCUACAAUGGCCGGGACAAUGGGUACCGACCCCGAAAGGGGUAGGUAAUCCCCUAAACCCGGUCUAACCUGGGAUCGAGGGCUGCAACUCGCCCUCGUGAACCUGGAAUCCGUAGUAAUNNCGCCUCAAAAUGGCGCGGUGAAUAC
rnacentral:rRNA from 1 species